CUGCCUGCCCAGUGACACACGUUUAACGGCCGCGGUACCCUGACCGUGCAAAGGUAGCAUAAUCACUUGUUCUUUAAAUAGGGACUCGUAUGAAUGGCACCACGAGGGUUUAACUGUCUCUUACUUUCGACCAGUGAAAUUGACCUGUCCGUGAAGAGACGGACAUGAAGCAAUAAGACGAGAAGACCCUGUGGAGCUUCAAUUUAUUAGUACAACUAAAAACCGUAUAAACCAACAGGCCCUAAACCCCUACAUCUGUGCUAAAAAUUUUGGUUGGGGCGACCUCGGAGCAUAACCAAACCUCCGAAUAAUCCACGCCAAGACUAUACAAGUCAAAGCAAACUGACACCUACAAUUGACCCAAUAACUUGAUCAACGGAACAAGUUACCCCAGGGAUAACAGCGCAAUUCUAUUCUAGAGUCCAUAUCAACAAUAGAGUUUACGACCUCGAUGUUGGAUCAGGACAUCCUAAUGGUGCAGCAGCUAUCAAGGGUUCGUUUGUUCAACG
rnacentral:rRNA from 1 species